UUUACCAGAGAUGACUGAUAACACCCUGUAACAGCUGAGAGGAAAAUGGAAGAAGCAGUGAUACUUUUAGUGAAACAGAAUAAACCACUGAACAGGAGAAAUGAGGAAGCCGUGAGUACCAGUGGAAGGACCAAGCCAGGAAGAGGGACUGGAACCAUCUCAGAAGCCGUUCCCCUCAGCCUGGAACUUGCCCUGUCUCCUCGCAGAUGA
rnacentral:lncRNA from 1 species